UUACCAAUACCUCUCAUGCCAA
rnacentral:miRNA from 2 species